UACGGGGGGGGGCAAGCGUUGUUCGGAAUUACUGGGCGUAAAGGGCUCGUAGGUGGUCAACUAAGUCGGACGUGAAAUCCCUCGGCUUAACCGGGGAACUGCGUCCGAUACUGGAUGACUUGAGUUCGGGAGAGGGAUGCGGAAUUCCAGGUGUAGCGGUGAAUGACGUAGAUAUCUGGAGGAACACCGGUGGCGAAGGCGGCAUCGUGGACCGACACUGAGCGCAUGACGGGAGCGAAAAGCCAGGGG
rnacentral:rRNA from 1 species